rfam:Camelus ferus unplaced genomic scaffold scaffold850, whole genome shotgun sequence.
GAGGAUAUAGCUCAGUGGUAGGGUACGUGCUUAACAUACGUGAGGUCCUGGGUUCAAUCCCCAGUACCUCCA